UACAUGGGGUGCAAACGUUGCUCGGAAUUACUGGGCGUAAAGCGCGCGCAGGCGGCUAUCCAAGUCAGUGGUGAAAGCCCGGAGCUCAACUCCGGAACUGCCAUUGAAACUGUUUAGCUUGAGGACGAGAGAGGUGAGUGGAAUUCCCAGUGUAGAGGUGAAAUUCGUAGAUAUUGGGAAGAACACCGGUGGCGAAGGCGGCUCACUGGCUCGUAUCUGACGCUCAGGCGCGACAGCGUGGGGAUCAAACAGG
rnacentral:rRNA from 1 species